rnacentral:tRNA from 1 species
UGAAGAGNUGGAGCAGCCUGGUAGCUCGUCGGGCUCAUAACCCGAAGGUCGUCGGUUCAAAUCCGGCUCCCGCAACCA